GAUGAACGCUGGCGGCGUGCCUAAUACAUGCCAGUCGAGCGAACAGACGAGGAGCUUGCUCCUCUGACGUUAGCGGCGGACGGGUGAGUAACACGUGGAUAACCUACCUAUAAGACUGGGAUAACUUCGGGAAACCGGAGCUAAUACCGGAUAAUAUAUUGAACCGCACGGUUCAAUAGUGAAAGACGGUUUUGCUGUCACUUAUAGAUGGAUCCGCGCCGCAUUAGCUAGUUGGUAAGGUAACGGCUUACCAAGGCAACGAUGCGUAGCCGACCUGAGAGGGUGAUCGGCCACACUGGAACUGAGACACGGUCCAGACUCCUACGGGAGGCAGCAGUAGGGAAUCUUCCGCAAUGGGCGAAAGCCUGACGGAGCAACGCCGCGUGAGUGAUGAAGGUCUUCGGAUCGUAAAACUCUGUUAUUAGGGAAGAACAAAUGUGUAAGUAACUAUGCACGUCUUGACGGUACCUAAUCAGAAAGCCACGGCUAACUACGUG
rnacentral:rRNA from 1 species